ensembl:lncRNA
GCCUGCAGCGAUCCGCCCAGCCCCCGACCCGGAAGUUCCGCCUCGUUAUCCGCGCGUGCGCAGUUUCCUGCGGAAGCGGAAAGCGGACAGAGAAGGUCGCCGCACGGCCUUUGCUUGUUUUUUUUCCUAGAGUAACCCUAAGCGCCUGCCUUCGCCACGCCCAUCUUCAGGGUCCGGCUGGUUCUGCGGCAGUAAUAUCCCAAUACCCCGAACUCCGCCCUAAAUAAACCCAGAGGCCGCCGUUUAGGUCAAGUAUUCGAAAUCGCUGUGAGGCUUGUCCUUGCCGUUUGGUUUUCGCCUUUGGCCCCGGAGACGCCGCCUUCCGGGAUAUUUUCAUGCUUAAAACUUAACCGUUAGUACCUGCGCCUGUGCCUUGUCAAGUCCCCGGGCGCGAGGGGGAUUCGGGCACGCCCACCUCCACCGCCUCACCCUGUCGACCCCUGGAGGUCGCGUCGACAGUUCCACUCCCGGAGAAGCCGAUUCCUCUCCCCGGUCCUGGGAUUCCGGAGAGCCCGCCCGACCCCUGAGACCCCCUCGCUUCCAGCCUCUCUGCCCUCGCGUCUCCUCAGGCCGAUCGUUCUGCCCCGCAGGCCUCCCUUCCUGAUCAACUUCUAAAAACUUACAUUGUCUGAGGAAGAAGCUGGAAAGAGGAAGAAAGGAAAGGCAACAGGAAUGCCUCUUUCUCAGACUGCUGCUGCUGCUGCUGCUGCUAAGUCGCUUCAGUCGUGUCGGACUCUGUGCGACCCCAUAGACGGCAGCCCAUCAGGCUCCCCCGUCCCUGGGAUUCUCCAGGCAAGAACACUGGAGUGGGUUGCCAUUUCCUUCUCCAAUGCAUGAAAGUGAAAAGUGAAAGUGAAGUCACUCAGUCGUGUCUGACUCUUCGAGACCCCAUGGACUGCAGCCCACCAGGCUAUGCCGUCCAUGGGAUUUUCCAGGCAAGAGUACUAGAGUGGGGUGCCAUCACCUUCUCCGAACAGACUGCUAGUGGGUAUAUAACAUCCACCUGAAGACUAGCAGGGGGGUACUCUUUCUGUCCCCUUCUGAUGCCUAUGUCAGAGGCUUUCUCUAUCUCCUUUAUACUUUAAUAAAACCUUAUUACACAAAUCUCUGAGCGAUCAAGCCUCGUGUCUGGCCCCAGAUUGAAUUCUUCUCCUCCGGAGGCCAAGAAUCCUGGCGUUUUUUCAGUCAGCAACAACCUUUCAAAUCCCUAUGGGAGAGAAACCCUACAAAUGUAAUCAAUGUGGGAAGGACUUUACGGAAAAGGCAACCCUUGCAAAGCAUCAAUGAAUUCAUACUGGAGAGAAACCUUACAAAUGUAAGAAGUGUGGAAAAGCCUUUAGUCAAAAAGCACAUCUUCAGCUUCAUUGGAGAAUACAUACAGGAGAGGAACCUUACAAAUGUAAUGUGUGGCAUGUGUUUCAGUCGAAAAUCACACCUUACAAGUCAUCGGAGAGUACAUUUUGUAGAGAGAC